UCCUGAACUCCAAAUCUAAACUCUAAACUUAUAUUUAUACUUGAACAAUUCCUAAUUCCACAGGUCACUUUAUACUAUUGUACUUUAAUAUUUUUGCUGCUGCAUAAUUUAAUACACUUUCACAUUUAAUUCUGUGCUGAGCCAAAUUGCAACGAAAUUUCAUUCUGUGUACACGUGUUGCAUACUGAAUGACAAUAAAGGUUGUCUAAGUCUAAGUCUUACAUGCACAAGUUACUAGAAGUGGGGCAGUGGAGCAGAUCUUCAUCAAAGCGGCUGCACAUCGGAGAGUCAUCAUGUAGAAAUCAACAGGAUAUAUUUUGGAUCUGGAACAAAGCUGUUUGUUCAAUCUAUGUGACUACUCAAGGGAACACUAAAAUCAUUUUUGGUACUGGCACUAAUCUAAUAGUAGAAUCAGAAGAAGAGCGGAAACCGGCACUUUACAAAGUUAAGCCACAGGGAACAGAUACGUCCAGCAAAGAAUCCUGCUUGGCCACUCGCUUUACAGUUCAAAAUGCCACAAAUACUACUUGGCCAUCUACUGACAAACACAAAACAGAGGCAGUUCGAUUUGAAGGAGAGGGAUAUUACAGCAGGCUUUUACUUUAUGACACCGCCAAGUGUAAUGAAAUUGAAAAUACGUGUACUAUCGGUGAUGUGGGCGGUUUCAAAUCAGAUGCCAAGACCAACUUUUUGGCAUGGAGCAUCUUUUGGCUGAGGGUUCUCUUCUUGAAGACAAUUGGGUUCAAUGUCUUGAUGACACUGAAAGUCUGGAUGAGCUAGUGUUUUUUGAAAUUGGUGAUACAAUCCCAAUUUGGCAGACCUGGAUGAAUUUUGUGCUGUCUAUGUGAAGAAAGCGGAAUGUUCUGCAUGACAUGACAACAUGGUUGUUGAAAUGCAAUGUAAUACAGUUCUUUUUUUGUUCAUUUAAGAAAUAGCUCUUUACUUUUUUGUGCUAAAAAGCCUUACUGUUCAAUUCAGUUCAAUUUUAUUUACAUACAUUUUAUUUACACUUUCAACAAUAUACAUUUUCACAAUGUACUACUCAAAUCUAGAUAUAUUUACUUUUGACUGCAUGUUAAAUCUGAAUUGUACUUUCAGUUACCUGCACAUUUUGUCUUUUUUUUCUGUUUAUUAUUAUUUUUACUCAGAGUUAGUAAUCCUGUCUUUUCAUUCACCUAUCAUUUAUCAUUUACAGUAUAUUCCUAUAUUGGCUGUUCCUGCAUAGGUAUCUCUUUGAAAACAUUAAAAGAAUAUGUGUAUGAUUUACAGUUGAUGCUAAGUUAUAUGUACUUGCAUAUACUAUGUAUGUGGCUUUAUAUGUAUAGAUCAUUGUUCAUUUAUAUUUAGGUACUC